rnacentral:rRNA from 1 species
UACGUAGGGGGCAAGCGUUGUCCGGAAUCAUUGGGCGUAAAGAGCGCGUAGGCGGUCCGGUAAGUCCGCUCUGAAAGUCCGGGGCUCAACCCCGGGAGGCGGGCGGAUACUGUCGGGCUAGAGUCCGGAAGAGGCGAGUGGAAUUCCUGGUGUAGCGGUGAAAUGCGCAGAUAUCAGGAGGAACACCAAUGGCGAAGGCAGCUCGCUGGGACGGUACGGACGCUGAGGCGCGAAAGCGUGGGGAGCGAACAGG